ACUGUAACUGUGAAAACAGAGGUUAACAAAAUCAAUAUGGUUCAAGAUGAUGACCUCACUUCCUUGCUCAAGCUUACUAGAAAAGAUAAUGAUGAAGUUGUUCGCAUACUAGCAGCAAAGGCAAUUGCCAAUUUAUCCAUGAAUGGAAAUUGAUGAACCUGCAUUGAAGGAGGACAUUUGUUUAUUUUGUGCUUUGCAGGAUUCAAUUGCAAUUGAUGAAGACCUUUUAGACAUUUUAGCAAAUAGUUCUAAAU